CCUACGGGUGGCAGCAGUGAGGAAUAUUGGUCAAUGAGCGGGAGCCUGAACCAGCCAAGCCGCGUGCGGGAAGAAGGUACAGCGUAUCGUAAACCUCUUUUGUCAGGGAACAAAGGCGGGGACUAGUCCCCUGAUGAGGGUACCUGAAGAAAAAGCAUCGGCUAACUCCGUGCCAGCAGCCGCGGUAAUACGGAGGAUGCGAGCGUUAUCCGGAUUUGUUGGGUUUAAAGGGUGCGCAGGCGGCCUGUUAAGUCAGCGGUAAAAGCCCGGGGCUCAACCCCGGCGAGCCGUUGAAACUGGCGGGCUGGAGUUGGAGAGAAGUACGCGGAAUGCGCGGUGUAGCGGUGAAAUGCUUAGAUAUCGCGCAGAACCCCGAUUGCGAAGGCAGCGUACCGGCUCCACACUGACGCUGAGGCACGAAAGCGUGGGUAUCGAACAGGAUUAGAUACCCUGGUAGUC
rnacentral:rRNA from 1 species